UGAGUAACCUGCCCCCUUCUUUGGGAUAACCGCCGGAAACGGUGGCUAAUACCGGAUACACACAUUCUGUCGCAUGGUGGGGUGUGGAAAGUUUUUCGGUGGGGGAUGGGCUCGCGGCCUAUCAGCUUGUUGGUGGGGUGAUGGCCUACCAAGGCUUUGACGGGUAGCCGGCCUGAGAGGCGACCGGCCACACUGGGACUGAGACACGGCCCAGACUCCUACGGGAGGCAG
rnacentral:rRNA from 1 species